rnacentral:rRNA from 1 species
GACGAACGCUGGCGGCGUGCCUAAUACAUGCAAGUAGAACGCUGAAGAGAGGAGCUUGCUCUUCUUGGAUGAGUUGCGAACGGGUGAGUAACGCGUAGGUAACCUGCCUGGUAGCGGGGGAUAACUAUUGGAAACGAUAGCUAAUACCGCAUAAAAUGGAUUAUCGCAUGAUAAUCAAUUGAAAGGUGCAAAUGCAUCACUACCAGAUGGACCUGCAUUGUAUUAGCUAGUUGGUGGGGUAACGGCUCACCAAGGCGACGAUACAUAGCCGACCUGAGAGGGUGAUCGGCCACACUGGGACUGAGACACGGCCCAGACUCCUACGGGAGGCAGCAGUAGGGAAUCUUCGGCAAUGGACGGAAGUCUGACCGAGCAACGCCGCGUGAGUGAAGAAGGUUUUCGGAUCGUAAAGCUCUGUUGUAAGAGAAGAACGAGUGUGAGAGUGGAAAGUUCACACUGU